CACAUCUCGCCAAGCCUUCCAAGUAACGAACUCCACUUUUCUACCAUCUUCUGAUACUGAAAACAAGUGAGACAGCCUCAUUGUGCCUCAGUAUUCCAGUUGAAAAAUGUAAUCACUGAAAUGUGUUUAUUUAUAUGGAAUUUUGUAAACCACUGAGCUCUUCAAAUGAGAUGUCCAACAACCAGGAGGAAGCCUCUGCAAAUGCAGUGUCAAGCUGCUGAAUUAGAAAGAGGAUAAGAAAGGGGAAGGUCACUUCAGGGAUGUGGCAGCUCUGGAACUGCAUAUCCCUCUGACUGCCAAACUUCCAGACCACUCACCUGGCCCACCCUUGUCAGUAUGUAAGCUUAAGGGAGCAUCUAUCUGGCAGUGCCGUGACAUAAAUGCAGAAAUGCAACACGGAAAAUAUCAUCUCUUCUUGUGACCAUAAGAAUUAAACAUGGUACUUUCAGGAAGCAAAUAAUGUUUUCAUUUUAUAUAUUUACAUACAUAUAGUACACAGGUAUAUAUUUAUAUAUUUAUGUACAUAUAUAUUUAAAGAAAACACUUUUGUCCAUGAAGAUCAUCCUGAUUUUAGCACAUCAGAAAGGAAAGUGAGAGCAGCUUAUUUUUCAAGGUUGUCCUAUAUAAUGAGCAAAAAAUACAAUUUACCUUUGUGCCAAGGUUUCAACCAAAGAUUGAAAUAGAAUGUUGAUAUUAUGCUACUGAUCAACAGAACCAAUCGACAAUAUGGAAUAAGCCUAGCCAGAAGAAAAAUUGUCUAGCUGCCAAGGUCUGCCUUCCUUGCUUCUCUAUCCUUUCUUUUUAACCAUCCUUUCCCUUUCUAAUGCUCUCACCAUUCCCUUCCCAAUAGUGAGAGUCCACCUGGAACUUAGCAGUCUGCUCUGUACAAUUCUAUUCUCUCCUCAUCUCUCUCUCCCUUGUCCCCUAUUCUCUUAAAUUGACCAGUUUUGUUUUUCAAUCAUUCCCUCAAGGCCUUCCUAGCUAAUUUUCCAGGGUUAGCUAAUGAUAAAUUAAUUUAUGUUCAUGCUUGAUAGUAACUUAAUGUGUUAACCCUCCUAAGCAACAUAUUAAAGGCUCAAUGCCUUAGCUGGAAGGAAUUGCAUCAAUAACAAAUAUGAAAAUUUUAAGCAGCUGAAUCUAUGUGCCUAAACUUAGAUCAAAAAUUCAUUUUGAGAAUGGAAGAGGGCACGUGAAUCUUUCAUCACCCCAAACAUCAUUUUUGAGGUGGCAACAUACCCUACCAUUAAAGCUGGAGAAGUCUUAGAAAAGAAUGACCAGAAACAUCAGGAACCUUAAGAUCAUAUCAUAAAGGAAUUGUUCAAAGGAAUUGGGGAUGCUGAACCUGUAAAAAAUAUAUCAGAGGACAUGACAGCUGUCUCUAUGACUCAAGUCCUCUUAUUUUCAAGCUUAGAAAAUCAGAUGGCCAAGGUGGGACAUACUCAUGGUUUCAUUUGGAAGAGACUUUGGAGUCUAUAUUUUCAUAGUCAAUAAGCAAAUGCAAUAGACUUAGAAAAAUUUGCAAGAUAUUAAAGAUGGAUGUUUUCUAUGUGGUCUGAGUGUAUUAGAACUAGGAACAAUGGGUAGAAGCUGUAAAGAGACAGAUGUAGGUAGUCUGGGAACAAGCCUAAAAACAACACUGAUAACUAUCUGAAUGUGGAAUGGAUUUUCUUAGGAGGUAGAGAUGUCCUAGGGGUGUGCUGAAGCCAGAACCAUAAAGCUUCAACCAGAUGAUUGUUAAAUUGUCAAUGUGAGGAUUUACACUUUGGAAAUAGGCAAAAGCUAUUAAUAAAGACCUGAUUUAUUUUCUUGUUGAUUGUCUAGACUUAAGAAACUGGUUAAUGUCAAGGAUGCAUAUUAAACUUAGAAG